UACGGAGGAUGCAAGCGUUAUCCGGAAUCACUGGGCGUAAAGCGCACGUAGGCGGCGCGUUAAGUCAGGGGUGAAAUCCUGGAGCUCAACUCCAGAACUGCCUUUGAUACUGGCGUGCUCGAGUGUGGGAGAGGUUGGUGGAACUCCGAGUGUAGAGGUGAAAUUCGUAGAUAUUCGGAAGAACACCAGUGGCGAAGGCGGCCAACUGGCCCAUUACUGACGCUGAGGUGCGAAAGCGUGGGGAGCAAACAGG
rnacentral:rRNA from 1 species